rnacentral:rRNA from 1 species
UGGGGAAUAUUGCACAAUGGGCGAAAGCCUGAUGCAGCAACGCCGCGUGAGUGAUGAAGGUCUUCGGAUUUGUAAAGCUCUGUCUUUUGGGACGAUAAUGACGGUACCAAAGGAGGAAGCCACGGCUAACUACGUGCCAGCAGCCGCGGUAAUACGUAGGUGGCGAGCGUUGUCCGGAUUUACUGGGCGUAAAGGGUGCGUAGGCGGAUGUUUAAGUGAGAUGUGAAAU